UGGUAUGUGGCGCGAUAUCGCUGAGCAAAUAUUAUUAGUUUCUAAAUAUGGAGUCGGUGUGUACACGAUAAUAAAAAUUGCUAUUACUAGAACUGAGUAUAACAAUUGAAUGUGGUCACAGUCGAAUUAAAGAGAGAAUGUGUGCGGUUAUGGUAAUUAAUGACGACUGCUUUGCAUUCAUUGUUCCCGAGUUACCUUUGUUAAGUUAUACUGUUUAACGAAAGUGCGUAGUAUUUGUAGCGUCAAGAGCAUACAAGCCUGUUUAAAAAUUUUACGCCAUUUUGUAUAUCAGUUCAGUAUUUAUGCAAAUGAUGAGUACUUUACGAGUACUUUAUACAAAUUCUUCUGAAUUCAAAUCGAAGCAACCAUCAAAAUGAUAUUCCACUUUCGAACUGGGAGAAAAGUUACUCAACUGUUGCCUCCGGAACGUAAACAAUAAACAAAAGUCUCAGAUGAAUCAGCACAGAGGCAUGUUGAAUCAAGCCAGCUCUAAGAUGCUCUAUUAUUAGCCACAUGAGGCAAUUACGGACACGCCAGUAACGAUUAACCAGCCGCUUUUAAAUCGGCUAGUUAUUCCUGCCGAUGUGUCAUCGUCAAAGAGAAGCCGUUCCAGCAGAAUCGUCAUUGACGGCAUCAUCAUUCUAGUCAUCGGUAUGUCUAUUGGCACUAAUGCAUCCACGAGAAAAUAAGAUACGAUUCAUUUUAACUUAGAGAAACCCGUGCGCGCCUUGAUGAGAAACAUUGGCUCCCUACUCUCCAGAAUAUUCUGGUUAGAUUUCUACUCUCACGGACGAUUUUCUACGUCCCGGAACGGAUCAGCCUGACGCAUUAUGUCCGCGAAUCGUUGACACUUCGUUCCCCUCUAGCGAGAGACUUUCGUUUCUUCCCACCGAAUAAAUUAUUCUUGCAAAUACCUUCGAUAUUUCGAGUGACAAUCGAUUUAAUUAUACAUCCACAUUUAAUUUCAAUCCAUCAUUCGGUUUAGAACUAACACAAACCUAGAACGUAAGACUUUCUCUACAGAUAAUCAUCGAGAUCGAAAUGCUAAAUUUAGUCUUCCAUUCCGUUUUUAUUCCAUGAAUUAUCCUUCUAUUUAAUUCCCUCGGUUUCGAGUGACGAUUUAAUUACAUACACCCACCGCUUCCUCCUGAACUUAGGAUCCUCGAAACCAAGCUAAGCCUCUUCUUCCGUGUUUACGCGGUUUCCCUCCCAUUAUCGUAGUUCAGUGUACAACACAAUAACAUCGUCACUUUCUAAAAAGCUGUAUCGUUCACACCGUGCACCCCACCGUGUAACGUGUGAACGGGCUUAGAGGCCUAAUCACACGCGGCGUGUCGCUCUCGGCCGCGAUCCAGAAACGGAACACUGGGAACAAAAGAAGAUCACGGUGAAGUUUGCGCGCGUGGAGAACGCGCUCGAUGCCCGUUCCCGACCCGGGUCAAGGUGAACGGGCGGCCAUUCUUAGGGUCGGUCGAAGGGAAGAUCGUACGGCGUGUGCCGCCGUAGUUCCGGCGAAGUGUCGUGAGAAGUAUCGAAGAAGCGAGAGAGAGAGAAACCGUAGGCCACGUGACUUCCCAGGGACGUGGGCUUCCGUUCCAUUCCACGCUGAUUACAUUGUAUAACGCCCGCGUAUACGGAUUACGACGCGGGAAAUUGUCUUCGUCCUCGCGUUUUUGUUUUUUCGCCACGUGAUCACGAAGACGCCUCGAAGGUAUGAGACGAGGACGUAGGAGACGAGUCAACUUUUCUAGCUAUUUCGAAUCUUUGUGUCAAAGUAGCGGCCGGUUAAAUGCUCUUACUGCUUUCUGUUUGUGAAUACGGAAUUUCUGUUUUUGACAAAUCCUUGGGGGAUCUUAUUUUUGGCCCGGGGCAAGGAUCUCGUCGCGAAGAGAAUUAUUUAUUCGAAAUGUAGGAUUUUAAUCGGGAUGGAAUUUUGUUGAAGGGAAUUUGGACAGGAGACAAUUGUUUCAAGAGUAUCUUUGCCACGAUUCUUGUUCGAGUCUCGCGUUAUAUCUCGCUCGUGAAACGUGCCAGUCUCUCCCUUUCUUUCGCCCAUUUAUCUCUUAUUUUGAAAACGUGGGCGUUUUCGUCUCAAAUUGUGUUGCCAAUGUUUCAACUCUCUCUCAGCUUCACGCUUAUUCUCAACCUUGGAACGACACACUUAGGAUACUUUGUUAAGAUAUGAAGGAACUUUUGUAGUAGGUAUUUAUAUGAAAUAUUAAGUAUCUGCCAAAAAUAUUUCCGACUCAUGCCUUAUACAUUCCUUCUUAUUUUUAUAACGAUACGAAAUUAGAUCGAUAGAUCGGAUUUAAUUAGAUCGUUUUAUAAAAAUACGAAAAAGUACGCGCAAACAUUCCUUCUUAAUAUUGUAUUAAUAGUAGAUCAGCAUUGGGUAGGCAGAUAAAUUGAAACACGUGCAUCGAAUCGGGCUUUAUUCUCAAGUUCUGUUCAACUUCGGUCAGGCACACAUUGUAUUCCACAAACACGAGCAUCUGCACGCGCGUACUGCACGCGCGUAUUGCACGCGCAAUUCUCGCGAGCUUGGCAGCGAGAACCUACGAUAAUAUGAACUUCAAGGCGGCCAAUGUUAUUUAUGUUCUCUAAAGUCCACGUGUAUCAUGAAUACCACGUGUAAAUCCCGAGUGCGCGUAUGUAUACGUGUUCACGUUAUCAUAAAUUUUUUUCAUAAAUAUAUAUAUAUAUAUUUUUUUUUUCAACACUGUAUAAAUAUUUUCAAAUAUAAAAAAGACACUAAUAAGAUAUGAAAGCAAUAGCGCAAAACGGUUAUUGCAAGGUUAAUAUUUAAUCAUUCGCCUAUUUGAUGAUCUAUUAUACGAUUUUACGCAAGAUAAAGAAUCCUAAUUUCAUUUAUGAUCCGAUCGUAAAUCUUGAGGUAUCUAUGUUUUAUUGCGGUAUUUAACAUUCCUUAGUUAGUGUCCGUUACACAGAGUAUGACAUUUGGCGGGUCUACUUUCAUUCCUGACGCAACUCGUACCCAAGUUUCACAUCAGGUUCCGCCGGUCAGAUAAUGUAUAGCGAUAUAUUAUGUAAAUAAAUACGGUUUUACCCGUUUUCUAAAUUUUUUUCCUUUCUUUCUAACGUAGAAUAUUACGUACAACCGAGUCCUUCAUUCAUUAAUAAAAGUAUAAGUGAAUUUUUCUGGAUGGACAUCGUCUAUUCUGUGAAUAUAAGAAAUAUAAGAAAUCGAUAAUAUUGAGAGAUGUGCAGUAAAAAUUGGAAUUUUGCCGCUUAGAUUAACGAACAUUUCAUUUCUGGGAUAAGAGG